CGCUGGCGGCAGGCCUAAUACAUGCAAGUCGAACGGCAGCACAGCAGAGCUUGCUCUGUGGGUGGCGAGUGGCGGACGGGUGAGGAAUACGUGGGAAUCUGCCCAGUCGUGGGGGAUAACGUAGGGAAACUUACGCUAAUACCGCAUGCGCCCUUCGGGGGAAAGCCGGGGACCUUCGGGCCUGGCGCGAUUGGAUGAGCCCACGUCGGAUUAGCUAGUUGGCGGGGUAAAGGCCCACCAAGGCGACGAUCCGUAGCUGGUCUGAGAGGAUGAUCAGCCACACUGGAACUGAGACACGGCCCAGACUCCUACGGGAGGCAGCAGUAGGGAAUAUUGGACAAUGGGCGCAAGCCUGAUCCAGCCAUGCCGCGUGAGUGAAGAAGGCCCUCGGGUUGUAAAGCUCUUUUGUCCGGAAAGAAAAGCGCCGGGUUAAUACCCUGGUGUCCUGACGGUACCGGAAGAAUAAGCACCGGCUAACUUCGUG
rnacentral:rRNA from 1 species